GUUGCGCACGUGCCUGUGUGUAAGCUAAGGCACGCACUCCUGGGCGGUAAGGACAAGCUUCCGAGAGAAUCGUUUCCUGGCGUGGUCUGCAAGAUACCCUGCGCAGAUUGCGACUACGCGUACAUCGGUACAUACCGAUGGCUUCAGCUGAAG
rnacentral:lncRNA from 1 species